rnacentral:rRNA from 1 species
CCUACGGGUGGCAGCAGUGGGGAAUAUUGCACAAUGGGGGAAACCCUGAUGCAGCGACGCCGCGUGAGCGAUGAAGUAUUUCGGUAUGUAAAGCUCUAUCAGCAGGGAAGAAAAUGACGGUACCUGACUAAGAAGCCCCGGCUAACUACGUGCCAGCAGCCGCGGUAAUACGUAGGGGGCAAGCGUUAUCCGGAUUUACUGGGUGUAAAGGGAGCGUAGACGGCGGUGCAAGCCAGAUGUGAAAGCCCGGGGCGCAACCCCGGGACUGCAUUUGGAACUGUGCUGCUAGAGUGUCGGAGAGGCAGGCGGAAUUCCUAGUGUAGCGGUGAAAUGCGUAGAUAUCACGCAGAACCCCGAUUGCGAAGGCAGCAUGCCGGCUUCCGACUGACGCUGAAGCACGAAAGCGUGGGGAUCGAACAGGAUUAGAUACCCCUGUAGUC